rnacentral:rRNA from 1 species
UACGAAGGGGGCUAGCGUUGCUCGGAAUGACUGGGCGUAAAGAGUGUGUAGGCGGUGCUCUAAGUUCGGUGUGAAAUCUCCUGGCUCAACUGGGAGGGUGCGCCGGAAACUGGAGUGCUUGAGCGUGGGAGAGGAAAGCGGAAUUCCUGGUGUAGCGGUGAAAUGCGUAGAUAUCAGGAGGAACACCUGUGGUGUAGACGGCUUUCUGGACCAUAGCUGACGCUGAGACACGAAAGCGUGGGUAGCAAACAGG